GGGUUGUGAGGUUAAGCGACUAAGCGUACACGGUGGAUGCCCUGGCAGUCAGAGGCGAUGAAGGACGUGCUAAUCUGCGAUAAGCGUCGGUAAGGUGAUAUGAACCGUUAUAACCGGCGAUUUCCGAAUGGGGAAACCCAGUGUGUUUCGACACACUAUCAUUAACUGAAUCCAUAGGUUAAUGAGGCGAACCGGGGGAACUGAAACAUCUAAGUACCCCGAGGAAAAGAAAUCAACCGAGAUUCCCCCAGUAGCGGCGAGCGAACGGGGAGGAGCCCAGAGCCUGAAUCAGUGUGUGUGUUAGUGGAAGCGUCUGGAAAGGCGCGCGAUACAGGGUGACAGCCCCGUACACAAAAAUGCACAUGCUGUGAGCUCGAUGAGUAGGGCGGGACACGUGGUAUCCUGUCUGAAUAUGGGGGGACCAUCCUCCAAGGCUAAAUACUCCUGACUGACCGAUAGUGAACCAGUACCGUGAGGGAAAGGCGAAAAGAACCCCGGCGAGGGGAGUGAAAAAGAACCUGAAACCGUGUACGUACAAGCAGUGGGAGCACGCUUAGGCGUGUGACUGCGUACCUUUUGUAUAAUGGGUCAGCGACUUAUAUUCUGUAGCAAGGUUAACCGAAUAGGGGAGCCGAAGGGAAACCGAGUCUUAACUGGGCGUUAAGUUGCAGGGUAUAGACCCGAAACCCGGUGAUCUAGCCAUGGGCAGGUUGAAGGUUGGGUAACACUAACUGGAGGACCGAACCGACUAAUGUUGAAAAAUUAGCGGAUGACUUGUGGCUGGGGGUGAAAGGCCAAUCAAACCGGGAGAUAGCUGGUUCUCCCCGAAAGCUAUUUAGGUAGCGCCUCGUGAAUUCAUCUCCGGGGGUAGAGCACUGUUUCGGCAAGGGGGUCAUCCCGACUUACCAACCCGAUGCAAACUGCGAAUACCGGAGAAUGUUAUCACGGGAGACACACGGCGGGUGCUAACGUCCGUCGUGAAGAGGGAAACAACCCAGACCGCCAGCUAAGGUCCCAAAGUCAUGGUUAAGUGGGAAACGAUGUGGGAAGGCCCAGACAGCCAGGAUGUUGGCUUAGAAGCAGCCAUCAUUUAAAGAAAGCGUAAUAGCUCACUGGUCGAGUCGGCCUGCGCGGAAGAUGUAACGGGGCUAAACCAUGCACCGAAGCUGCGGCAGCGACGCUGAUGCGUUGUUGGGUAGGGGAGCGUUCUGUAAGCCUGUGAAGGUGUGCUGUGAGGCAUGCUGGAGGUAUCAGAAGUGCGAAUGCUGACAUAAGUAACGAUAAAGCGGGUGAAAAGCCCGCUCGCCGGAAGACCAAGGGUUCCUGUCCAACGUUAAUCGGGGCAGGGUGAGUCGACCCCUAAGGCGAGGCCGAAAGGCGUAGUCGAUGGGAAACAGGUUAAUAUUCCUGUACUUGGUGUUACUGCGAAGGGGGGACGGAGAAGGCUAUGUUGGCCGGGCGACGGUUGUCCCGGUUUAAGCGUGUAGGCUGGUUUUCCAGGCAAAUCCGGAAAAUCAAGGCUGAGGCGUGAUGACGAGGCACUACGGUGCUGAAGCAACAAAUGCCCUGCUUCCAGGAAAAGCCUCUAAGCAUCAGGUAACAUCAAAUCGUACCCCAAACCGACACAGGUGGUCAGGUAGAGAAUACCAAGGCGCUUGAGAGAACUCGGGUGAAGGAACUAGGCAAAAUGGUGCCGUAACUUCGGGAGAAGGCACGCUGAUAUGUAGGUGAAGUCCCUCGCGGAUGGAGCUGAAAUCAGUCGAAGAUACCAGCUGGCUGCAACUGUUUAUUAAAAACACAGCACUGUGCAAACACGAAAGUGGACGUAUACGGUGUGACGCCUGCCCGGUGCCGGAAGGUUAAUUGAUGGGGUCAGCGCAAGCGAAGCUCUUGAUCGAAGCCCCGGUAAACGGCGGCCGUAACUAUAACGGUCCUAAGGUAGCGAAAUUCCUUGUCGGGUAAGUUCCGACCUGCACGAAUGGCGUAAUGAUGGCCAGGCUGUCUCCACCCGAGACUCAGUGAAAUUGAACUCGCUGUGAAGAUGCAGUGUACCCGCGGCAAGACGGAAAGACCCCGUGAACCUUUACUAUAGCUUGACACUGAACAUUGAGCCUUGAUGUGUAGGAUAGGUGGGAGGCUUAGAAGUGUGGACGCCAGUCUGCAUGGAGCCGACCUUGAAAUACCACCCUUUAAUGUUUGAUGUUCUAACGUUGACCCGUAAUCCGGGUUGCGGACAGUGUCUGGUGGGUAGUUUGACUGGGGCGGUCUCCUCCUAAAGAGUAACGGAGGAGCACGAAGGUUGGCUAAUCCUGGUCGGACAUCAGGAGGUUAGUGCAAUGGCAUAAGCCAGCUUGACUGCGAGCGUGACGGCGCGAGCAGGUGCGAAAGCAGGUCAUAGUGAUCCGGUGGUUCUGAAUGGAAGGGCCAUCGCUCAACGGAUAAAAGGUACUCCGGGGAUAACAGGCUGAUACCGCCCAAGAGUUCAUAUCGACGGCGGUGUUUGGCACCUCGAUGUCGGCUCAUCACAUCCUGGGGCUGAAGUAGGUCCCAAGGGUAUGGCUGUUCGCCAUUUAAAGUGGUACGCGAGCUGGGUUUAGAACGUCGUGAGACAGUUCGGUCCCUAUCUGCCGUGGGCGCUGGAGAACUGAGGGGGGCUGCUCCUAGUACGAGAGGACCGGAGUGGACGCAUCACUGGUGUUCGGGUUGUCAUGCCAAUGGCACUGCCCGGUAGCUAAAUGCGGAAGAGAUAAGUGCUGAAAGCAUCUAAGCACGAAACUUGCCCCGAGAUGAGUUCUCCCUGACUCCUUGAGAGUCCUGAAGGAACGUUGAAGACGACGACGUUGAUAGGCCGGGUGUGUAAGCGCAGCGAUGCGUUGAGCUAACCGGUACUAAUGAACCGUGAGGCUUAACCUUACAACGCCGAAGGUGUUU
rnacentral:rRNA from 1 species